rnacentral:rRNA from 1 species
GAUCAACGCUGGCGGCGUGCUUAACACAUGCAAGUCGAACGAAGUUUUUCCUUCGGGAGAAACUUAGUGGCGGACGGGUGAGUAACGCGUGGGUAACCUGCCCUGUACAGGGGGACAACAGCUGGAAACGGCUGCUAAUACCGCAUAAGCACUUAGCACUGCAUGGUGCAUAGGGAAAAGGAGCAAUCCGGUACAGGAUGGACCCGCGUCUGAUUAGCCAGUUGGCAGGGUAACGGCCUACCAAGGCGACGAUCAGUAGCCGAUCUGAGAGGAUGUACGGCCACAUUGGGACUGAGACACGGCCCAGACUCCUACGGGAGGCAGCAGUGGGGAAUAUUGCACAAUGGAGGAAACUCUGAUGCAGCGACGCCGCGUGAGUGAAGAAGUAUUUCGGUAUGUAAAGCUCUAUCAGCAGGGAAGAAAAUGACGGUACCUGACUAAGAAGCACCGGCUAAAUACGUG